GGAUCAUUUGACCUUUGCUAUAUAGGAAGCCUGAGGACAUAUGAGGAAUUGCCUCCCUGGGGGAGUUGGAGGCUUGGCUUGCCUAGGGGGGUUUUCCUCUUGUGGUGAAAUGGACUCCGUGUUCCCCAGGAGGCUGCUUUUUCUUCAUGCUUUCUGCCAUCUCUGUGAAAUAGUUUUAGAGACUCUAUGAGCUACUGACAUUGGUGGUGCCUGCUGGUACCACCUCACUGCAAAGCACUUUGGAAGUGACGCAAGUUCAGAAGCCAGCAGGAAGAGGGUGAUGUAUUUCUACAGCAAAAGAAAAAGAGCAAACCCCUUCAUAUCUGGUGUAACUUCUGAACUGCAGUGUGCUUAAAGGUUGAUACAUUGAAAAGUUUCAAUGCAACCUCCAGAUUCUUUUCCACUUUUACAUCUAAAAGGUUUGUGUUUUUAGUCACUUGAUGUGUAUGCAGCAGUCUUCAAAGUAAGCUGUAUAUUAAAUAGCAAGUAUGCAGUGGAAGACUUUUCCAAGAAACUGAUUUCUUCUGCAAUUCAUAGCAGGACUUCCAUUUUGCAGCAUAAAAUGUAUUGUAGAACACAUGAAUAUUAUGAUUGAAAUAAGGAAAUAAGGAAAGCAAACUUUUAAAAAUAUUACUCAUGUUUUUGAUUGCAUAUGUGACUAAAUGGAAUUACUUUGUGGUGGUACUGACUGAUGUUGAAUGCAGUUCAUUAAGGUGGCAGGUUGGAGCUAAGAUUCACAUUUGGAAAGCAAUUGCCUUUUGAUUGAAAACACCAUCAAAAGUAUCAAAGUGCAAUAGACUUCACUGCUUUUUGGAUACCACAAUAAGAAGCAGUAUUUUUAUUGGUGAGAAUGUGCUAAAAUCCCUAGGUUGGAUUUACAGUGUGAUAGAAGUAUCAUUAUCCUGCAGUUACUGCUGAGACGUCUGUACUUUAUUGAUAAGUCGUGUGACUUACCCACUGGGACUUGCCACUGAGACUUCCAACAUUAAUCCCCUUGUUCAACACUGGAAAGUAACCAAUACUUUUCUGUAGUUAUUACAUUACAUUAAAUGUGCAGCAUACAUUGUGUAGUUUCUAUAUGUUAUAUUGUAUUCAAUUACACAUUGCAAAAGGUCUCGGUCUAUGAAAUGGACCUUGCCUUAGCUUCCGGGAGUGUGACUGUAAGCUCCUGACCAGAUGCGUUAAUUGUGCUUGGGCUUCCGUAGCAGUAAAAUAUGUUCUUACUGAAUUCAGACAGGUUUUAUUUUAAUUUAUGUGUUGGGUUUUGUUUGCAAUGACAAUGCCACCAAGCUUUGAUGAAUGUUAAAGUUUUUUUUCAUUAAAAAAACAGAUUGUUCUAAAGUCUGUACCAUUUGAAUGACAAUGGCAGAUAAGAAUAGAUCGUUACUGUUCCACAGAAAACAAAGCUGUUACAUGCCAAUCGCUGUUGUUCUCAGUACAGUGUUGUUUGCAGAUAAACACUCUCCACAGUUCCUGUAGCAAUUUUAAAUCUGGAAAUAUUUUGGAAAACACGACCCAUCAUCAUGUUAGUUCCAGGUCUUUAGAAGCUCUGAAUAUUAGCUCAAAGUGCCUCUCCUACAAUGUUUCUCCCUGUUGGUUAGGAAAUUAAAUGAAAAUUAUGAUUUGAAAACAAAGGGUUGAGGAAAUUAGUAUUUUUGCCUCAUGAUUUGAAUAUUUAAAGGUUAUAUUUUUAUUUCCUCUGAUUCUAGGAAUGGCAAAUAUUAUUCUCAUAUGAUUACAUCUCAACAGCGAUCAUUAAAAAAUAUAUUCCAAAUGUUAUGUAACAUGUAAUAAAUACCAUGAGAUUCA